GAAGGAACGUUUAAGACUAAGACGUUGAUAGGCUGGGUGUGUAAGUGCAGCGAUGCAUUGAGCUAACCAGUACUAAUGAUCCGUGAGGCUUAACCUU
rnacentral:rRNA from 1 species